GCCUAUAAAUAUAUAUGAAUUAUGAAAAUUUCACAUGUUUCAUGGAGGAAUUGAAAUUCGAGCCAUGACGUGCUACUAGUACUUGACGAGAUCCACAUACCCUUUUACGCAGCAACCUGAGAGUAUCGUACAAAAUCCAAGUGGAGUUACUCAUGCUAGGGUUGUAGCAACACUACAAUGAAGGUGCAUCCUGCUUCUUCAUAGAAUGUGCUUGAGCAAUCAACUACUUGGCCAGUCGCACCCAUUCUAGGUUUCUUUCGUUACCGUGAGGUUAAAGCCAGUCCAUCUUAGCAACAUGAUUCUAGUGGGUGUCUUUCCUCCGAAGACAAUGACACAACCGGUAACAAAUAGAGGACAGACGGGCUGAUGGAGGAAGGGAUGCGAUGUGAGUGCAGAGUAACAACGCGGACAUUGUUGAGCGAGUUUGCAGAAGCGACGGUGAUGAUACCUCUCACCGCUCGAACGAUGAUUUGAUGCAGCUCUGCUCUAGACUUUCCUUUGUUGCUGCUUUUGUUUAUCUAUAAAAAUGAUAUGGAUAUGGGACCUGCGGCUUGAGCCCAAUUUACCGGGCAGGUCCAUACAAGCCGGGCUCGACUUUAACAUGC
rnacentral:lncRNA from 1 species